UAGGUCCGUAUGCCAUACGUCCUUGGUAGCGAAAGGGUUAAGAGGUAAAUGGGUGGGGUCCGUGCGGUCCGCCCGGAGGAUUCAACCCGGCGGGCCAGGCCCCCGCAGGGCGCAUUUCCUCCGCGGCGGUGCACCGUGACCGGCUCUGGGCCGGC